UUGCCAGACUCCUACGGGAGGCAGCAGUGAGGAAUAUUGGUCAAUGGGCUUACGCCUGAACCAGCCAAGCCGCGUGAGGGAAGACUGCCCUAUGGGUUGUAAACCUCUUUUGUCAGGGAGCAAUUGGCGCUACGUGUAGCGUUAUCGAGAGUACCUGAAGAAAAAGCAUCGGCUAACUCCGUGCCAGCAGCCGCGGUAAUACGUAGGCGGCAAGCGUUAUCCGGAUUUACUGGGUGUAAAGGGCGUGUAGGCGGGGGCGCAAGUCAGAUGUGAAAGCCACGGGCUCAACCUGUGACCUGCAUUUGAAACUGUGUUUCUUGAGUGCUGGAGAGGCAGGCGGAAUUCCUAGUGUAGCGGUGAAAUGCGUAGAUAUUAGGAGGAACACCGGUGGCGAAGGCGGUCUGCUGGACAGCAACUGACGCUGAGGCGCGAAAGCGUGGGGAGCAAACAGGAUUAGAUACCCCCGUAG
rnacentral:rRNA from 1 species